ensembl:lncRNA
AACACGGAGAAAUUGAUUUACUGUAGACUUCAUUCAGUGUGAUUAAUCACGAGGAGGAUUCAUUUAUGGAGGCCGGCGAUUUCUGUUUUACUGAUCGUGACACUUUAGUCCUUCAUUUACCUAUUCACUUUUUUAAUUCGCAACAAUUGUCAAUAAUUUAUUAAACACGAGCUAACGGGAAAACGUAACUGUUUUACAAGGUGGUGAUUUCGUAUGAGUUCGUACGAUUUUCACAUCGUAGAAACAUACGCGAUUUUUAGUAAGCACGAAGGCCCCGCCCCUAAAUAACCAUCACUGGCGCGUGAGUAGAAUUUAAAACAUAAAAUAGUAAUGAACUGACAUGAGAUUGUGUUGAUUUACCAAUGCACGUAAUUAUUUAGGUAAAGAAAUGCAUCCGAGACACUGAUCUAGCUAUAAUAUUUAUAUAGAUCAGUGAUCCAAAACAACUUUCUUUACAGCUGACGUCAUCAGUGCCUCUUGUUUUUCAGCCACUUUCAUAUCGAGACGCCAUCCAACCAAUCGAAAUGGAUAAAACUAAGUUACUCCAGUUUUAAGUUUACUGGUAACACACAAACACACACCUGUUGGAAAUGAUCUUGUCUCAUCCCUCAGGUUGUAAAAAACACACAUGCAUUUAUGAAGCUGAAAUAUGAAGCCUGUAUUUUGUUAAAAUGUAUUCGAGCUUGGACAGCUUGUCUAGUUAAAUGAACGUCUGGUUAUGUGUGACUGUCUGAGGGUUUUUCUCUAUGCUAACAGUCUCUUACUUGCAGGUCACCAUUCUCCCCCAGCGUGGUCCUGACAGGAAUCAAGGCUGCGUCCUAAACCCUUGUUUGAGGUUCCCUGUACACCUGUAAUUGUUUAUUCGGAGACGCGAGGCCCGGCGCAGAUGCUCUCAUCCAAAGUGACUGUGCUGGCAAACCAAAUGCUGAGGAAAAAACUUGACAAAUGCGAAGAGGGUGAGUUCAAGUU